rnacentral:rRNA from 1 species
CCUACGGGUGGCAGCAGUGGGGAAUAUUGCACAAUGGGCGAAAGCCUGAUGCAGCAACGCCGCGUGAAGGAAGAAGGGUUUCGGCUCGUAAACUUCUAUCAACAGGGACGAAAGAAAUGGUGGUACACGAAUAAGACGCCCCGGCUAACUACGUGCCAGCCGCCGCGGUAAUACGUAGGGGGCAAGCGUUAUCCGGAAUUACUGGGUGUAAAGGGAGAGUAGGAGGAAUGGUAAGUCAGAUGUGAAAGCCUUGGGCUUAACCCGAGGAUUGCAUUUGGAACUGUCAAGCUAGAGUACAGGAGAGGAAGGCGGAAUUCGUAGUGUAGCGGUGAAAUGCGUAGAUAUCAGGAAGAACACCAGUGGCGAAGGCGGCUUUCUGGACUGAAACUGACGCUGAGGCACGAAAGCGUGGGGAGCGAACAGGAUUAGAUACCCUGGUAGUC